GUGCCAGCAGCCGCGGUAAUUCCAGCUCCAAUAGCGUAUAUUAAAGUUGUUGCAGUUAAAAAGCUCGUAGUUGAAACUUGGGCCUGGCUGGCAGGUCCGCCUCACCGCGUGUACUUGUCCGGCCGGGCCUUUCCUUCUGGAGAACCUCAUGCCCUUCACUGGGUGUGUUGGGGAACCAGGACUUUUACUUUGAAAAAAUUAGAGUGUUCAAAGCAGGCCUUUGCUCGAAUACGUUAGCAUGGAAUAAUAGAAUAGGACGUGCGGUCCUAUUUUGUUGGUUUCUAGGACCGCCGUAAUGAUUAAUAGGGACAGUCGGGGGCAUCAGUAUUCAAUUGUCAGAGGUGAAAUUCUUGGAUUUAUUGAAGACUAACUACUGCGAAAGCAUUUGCCAAGGAUGUUUUCAUUAAUCAGUGAACGAAAGUUAGGGGAUCGAAGACGAUCAGAUACCGUCGUAGUCUUAACCGUAAACUAUGCCGACUAGGGAUCGGGCGAUGUUCUUUUUCUGACACGCUCGGCACCUUACGAGAAAUCAAAGUUUUUGGGUUCUGGGGGGAGUAUGGUCGCAAGGGCUGAAACUUAAAGAAAUUGACGGAAGGGCACCACCAGGCGUGGAGCCUGCGCUUAAUUUGACUCAACACGGGGAAACUCACUAGGUCCAGAUGAAAUAAGGAUUGACAAGAUUGAGAGCUCUUUCUUGAUUUUUUCAGGUGGUGGUGGCAUGGCCGUUCUUAGUUGGUCGAGUGAUUUGUCUGCUUUAAUUGCGAUAACGAACGAGAACCUAAACCUGCUAAAUAGCCAGGCUAAGCCUUUGCUGGU
rnacentral:rRNA from 1 species